rnacentral:rRNA from 1 species
UACGUAGGGAGCAAGCGUUGUCCGGAAUCAUUGGGCGUAAAGCGCGCGUAGGUGGCUCUAUAAGUCCGUUGUGAAAGUCAAAGGCUCAACCUUUGAAAGCCGAUGGAUACUGUAGAGCUAGAGUCCGGAAGAGGCGAGUGGAAUUCCUGGUGUAGCGGUGGAAUGCGCAGAUAUCAGGAAGAACACCGAUGGCGAAAGCAGCUCUCUGGGACGGUACUGACGCUGAGGCGCGAAAGCGUGGGGAGCGAACAGG